UACGUAGGGGGCAAGCGUUGUCCGGAUUUAUUGGGCGUAAAGAGCGCGCAGGCGGUCUAUCAAGUCAGAUGUGAAAUAUCCGGGCUUAACCCGGAGGGGUCAUUUGAAACUGGUAGACUAGAGUACAGCAGAGGAUAGCGGAAUUCCCGGUGUAGUGGUGAAAUGCGUAGAUAUCGGGAGGAACACCAGUGGCGAAGGCGGCUAUCUGGGCUGAAACUGACGCUGAGGCGCGAAGGCUAGGGGAGCAAACAGG
rnacentral:rRNA from 1 species